rnacentral:lncRNA from 1 species
GUGGUUAGCAUUCGUCGCCAACGAGAAAUUGGGGUCGGCCCGAAAGCUCUAGAAUGCACCCCUCUUCCUCCCCGGGGCCUUCCACCUCCGCGAGUUUUAUGACUUAAAAAAGCCCACAGGCUGGUCUGAAGGUCGGAGGCCUAAUUUUAACGCGUUUUCCUCCCUUUAAUUUGAAACGGGAACGCGAAUGACUGUAAAAUAGGAAGACAAACAUAAAGAUGAAGUGCUUAAUUCAAGGUCACACAAUGUCGGGGAUGGACCUCCAGAUUUCCUUACUGACCUGCAUUAUCUUGUGGAUACCUGAGUGAAUUCCACACCACCCAUUUUAUAGAUGAAACCACUGAGACAUGGAGCAAUUGACUGAGUAGUCACUGCCCCACCCCUGCCUGGAGCCUCACACAUGACUCGCCUCCUCUCAGUGACCACAGGUUGGUUGAGGGGUUUAACAAGGCUAAGAAGUACUUAUCCUGUAUUACAUGAAGGAAAUGAAAUAAAAAGACUGCAGCCCCACUCCCAGCUACUCAGUGAGGUGGUAGCUAGAGACGGAGUCUUGCUAUGUUGCCCAGGCUGGUCUUGAACUCCUCACCUCAAGCGAUCCUCCCGUCUUGGCCUCCCAAGUGUCAGGAUUACGGGCAUGUGCUAUCACACCCAACCUGAUACAUUGCCUUUAUAAAUUUUUUUUUCUUUAUUCUAAAAACCAGAAAAAACAAAACUGGAUACAUGUGCAGAACAUGCAGACCAAGUGUGUUGGGGACUUGAGAUGCGUACAUGAGUGUGAUGUUUCCUGCUGAAAGCACAGGUGAGACGUGGUCUUGUAACACAGUGGUUAAGAAUGUGACUUUGGAGCCAGCCUGCUAGGGGCUGAAUUCUGACUCAGCCAUUUACUAACUGUGUGACCUUAGGGAGGAGGACCUGGUUGAUAGAAGAAUUUAUCUCGUAGUCUUAACAUCCACUGUAAUUCCAAACUUUGAGGACGAUAGAGAUCAGUGGGCUUUGACUGCCCAGCAUGCAGUCUCCAUU